UAUUGUUCUCCCUCUUCAUUUUCGUUCUCCCUCCAUUUUCGUCCUCUCUCCAAGCUUUGUUCAACCUCCUCAAUUUCGUGGGACGGACCAAAAGCUCUCGUUGACGGUAUUAUGCGCAACGACAUCCUCCGGUGAGGUUGGUGGUUCGAGCAAGGUAAAUGGGUUUUUUCAUUUUCUUAAAUGUGUUAUGGGUUUGACUUUAGGUUUUCGUUUUGGGUUUUCGGUUUUGGUUCUGUGUUUUGUUUAAUAGGGGUUUUAUUUCUUGGUUUUGGGGUUUUGUUUAAUUGUGCUUUUAUUGUUUUGGAGGCAAAGUUGGCUGAAGAGAAGAAUAAACAUAGGAAUAAAGAUGAUGGUGAACAGGCUCAUCAAGAAUCCCACAUGAACACUCCCUUUGUAAGCCCAGGAGGCAUUUACACUAACCAACCCACUAUAGAGAGGUUUGUAAGGGUCAGAUCACGAAAGCGAUACAAGAGUAGAGCCCUUAGGACUCCGUACAUUGGAAAUAGGACGAAACAUGAGUUAUUUGUGCAUUUAAUUAUUAUAGAAAGUAAGAGAUCAUUGUACAUAUAUGAACAAAAUAAUGUAUUGUAACAUUUCUUUUAACGUUAAUGAAG
rnacentral:lncRNA from 1 species